UACGUAGGGUGCGAGCGUUGUCCGGAAUUAUUGGGCGUAAAGAGCUCGUAGGCGGUGUGUCACGUCGGCCGUGAAAACCUGCAGCUUAACUGUGGGCGUGCGGUCGAUACGGGCAUCACUGGAGUUCGGCAGGGGAGACUGGAAUUCCUGGUGUAGCGGUGAAAUGCGCAGAUAUCAGGAGGAACACCGGUGGCGAAGGCGGCACUCUGGGCCGGUACUGACGCUGAGGAGCGAAAGCGUGGGGAGCGAACAGG
rnacentral:rRNA from 1 species